AGUGAACGCCGGCGGUAGGCCUAACACAUGCAAGUCGAACGGCAGCACAGUAAGAGCUUGCUCUUACGGGUGGCGAGUGGCGGACGGGUGAGGAAUACAUCGGAAUCUACUUUUUCGUGGGGGAUAACGUAGGGAAACUUACGCUAAUACCGCAUACGACCUACGGGUGAAAGCAGGGGAUCUUCGGACCUUGCGCGAUUGAAUGAGCCGAUGUCGGAUUAGCUAGUUGGCGGGGUAUAGGCCCACCAAGGCGACGAUCCGUAGCUGGUCUGAGAGGAUGAUCAGCCACACUGGAACUGAGACACGGUCCAGACUCCUACGGGAGGCAGCAGUGGGGAAUAUUGGACAAUGGGCGCAAGCCUGAUCCAGCCAUACCGCGUGGGUGAAGAAGGCCUUCGGGUUGUAAAGCCCUUUUGUUGGGAAAGAAAAGCAGCAGGUUAAUACCCCGCUGUUCUGACGGUACCCAAAGAAUAAGCACCGGCUAACUUCGUG
rnacentral:rRNA from 1 species